rnacentral:sRNA from 1 species
AUGAAGAAGCUAGGUUAAUGUUUUAGAGUCAAGUAUGACAAGAUGUCAUGUGUAUGUUUGAGUAUAAGAACUAGAACCGCAACUGCUUCCCAAAAGCUAAAGUAGUGUUUCCUUGUUAGAAGAUUCAAAGCCAAAGAAUCAUAUGGACUUCAGCUACACCAUCAAAGCUAUGAGAAGCAAUAAGAAGCUUUGUUAGUGUUUUGGAGUCAAAUAUGACUAGAUGUCAUGUGGAUGAUUGAAUAUAAGAACUAGAACCGCAACUGCUUCCCAAAAGCUAAAGUAGUGUUUCCUUGUUAGAAGAUUCAAAGCCAAAGAAUCAUAU